UUCCAGAAGUUUAAAAAAAAAUUACUGGCAACAAUUGUUGCCGGUGGGAUUAAACGGUUUAAAGUCAACAAAUU